rnacentral:rRNA from 1 species
UACGUAGGUGGCAAGCGUUGUCCGGAUUUACUGGGCGUAAAGAGCGCGCAGGCGGUCGUUCAAGUCGCGUGUGAAAGCCCCCGGCUCAACUGGGGAGGGUCACGCGAUACUGAUCGACUCGAAGGCAGGAGAGGGUAGUGGAAUUCCCGGUGUAGUGGUGAAAUGCGUAGAUAUCGGGAGGAACACCAGUGGCGAAGGCGGCUGGCUGGACCUGACCUGACGCUGAGGCGCGAAGGCGUGGGGAGCGAACGGG